AACGGUGACGCGGACCGCUGCACGGUGGGACUCUCAGCAUCUGCCGGCUCUGAUAAUGAUGAUGCUGAUGAUGAUAACAAUAAUAAGUAGCUUCCCGUGGCGCCCCUCAUCCUCUCACUCCCCACGCUUACGUCACGGAUUAUCACACAUGACACACAUGACUGGAUACACCGGGCUAUCUAGGGUGUGUGUGUGUAUGCGUGUUUGGGUGUGUGUGUGUGCGUGGGUGAUAUCUUUAAGGUUACCACCCUUAUCCCUCACAUACCGCCUAAAAUGUAUCUAUCUGAAUCAAAGCCAAAACAUUGGAUGUACAUUUUUUAAAGGCAGAAAUGUCAUGCCGUAUUUGUUUCUCAAAAUACCCUUUUCAAUUAUAUAAAGUCUAAAUGAUGUAAGGUAAAGAGAAUUAGACGGAAAUGCCUGGUGAGUUGACAGUUUGACCGUUUUCACAGACAGUGAGAGCCACAGAGAUGGAGACAGACACUCUGGACUUCUGGAGAUUCUGAGAGGAACCUGAUAAUCCGAUGUGACUCAUGGGUUGCUUGAAGCAAUGACAUCACCACACUGUUUGGACAUGACACAGAAGCCUAUGACCGUCUUCUCAUACGGAAAAACACAGUUAUUAUCAUUAUCGCUCAAUCAAAAACAGUUAUUUUUGGAUGAAUGAGGGCAGAAUAUUAAACUCAUAAGAGACUCGAUUUGCGAUGUUCUGGUAAGGUCAGGGAACUGAAGGGCUAAAGUCCAAUACAAAUCCUUUUUUUUUUUUAUCUUCAAAAAAGAUGACUCAUAUAUUGAGCAAAGAAAUUAGAGCUAGAAUAUCAAUCCACCUAUUAAAUCUAAAAGCAACUCAACGGUUUCCUCAGUACUGUGCAGAGGACUUGACCUUCCAAGGAACUUCCAAAGAACUUGUCCAUGUUGUGAUUCACUCCAAAGACAACGUAUAUAGCAGAGUGGUGACAUCUCAGAUGACAGCGCUGCAAAGUGUCCUUGAUGCAGCCUCUUGUCCUCUGGGGUAAAUGGCAGGGGGUAAAUAACUCCGGGCACUCACAGGUGACUCACUGACCAGACCGGGACAAGCAGAACACACAUGCUUUUAAUGCUGUGUGUGUAUGUGUGUGACUAUCCGACCUUGGGGAGCUGCCAAAUCCUUUCUCCUUCCACCUCUUGAGAUCCAGCCACCCCAAUGCAGCAGCUGGCUGGCCCAUCUGAUAAAGCACACACACCUGGCGACCUUGGAGUGAGGGCUGGCACCGAUGCUUGAUAGUUAGACCUGUGCAACAUCUGUGAGGGAAGCAAACUCCGGCACACGCGCAUGCAUGCGUGUGCGAGACGCUGACAAACAGCUACAUACGUCAGGAGAGCAACAAUAAACAAAGGUGGGAUCACCUUGUUCCCAUGGGGAUACUACCUUCCUUCCACCUUCCCCUUACUCUCUCUGUCUCCGUCCAUUUCCUGCUUGGAAAGUGAACCUGCGCAUAUCCUGUUUCUAUCUAGGUAGAUAUGCAACUUUCUCUUGUAUUGUAGCUACUUCCUGUCAGUAUGAAAGAAAGUCGGUGGUUUUAUUUGAAUGAAAUCUACCUUGCGCUGUGUUUGGAAAGCAUAGAUUAAGCUGUGUGGAAACUCGACUACUAAACGUAGUCAAAACACGUUCCUCCCAUGAGUCAUUGUUGAGAGUAGCUGCAUGGUGGGGACAUUUUCUGAUCUCUUCAGUAGUCGCGUCAUUUCCUCGAACAUGAUUAUAAUUUCAUGGAAAAUCUCAGGGUACGAAGACUUUGACAAAAAAAGUCCUGUUUUCUACAUGGCAGUCAUUCUUUUUGAAGGUUUUACUGAAUAAAACAGGGUCACCUGUUUAAGCAACUUUUUUCAAAUGUUAAAAAAAAAAAUCCUCUAAAGAUGAUUGCAUGUUGUAUUACAUUUACAUUAAGUUUAUAGUGAUAAGUUUAUAAUUCUCAAUUUUUUUUUACAUGGUAUCUAUAUACUGUAUGUUUAAACUAUGACAUUACAGUUUUUCUCGAUUGCUAACACACAAAAAUGGUAUGUGUAAGCCUUCCUCACAAAUCCAUUUUGCCAAUUCCCAGCAGAAAGACCAUGUACCCCAGUCUUUAAAUACAAUUUACCCUUUUUGACACAUUACUCAGGUUCAUUCACACUUCUUUGCAAAAGUCUAAAUACACCUCUCACUUUAAGACACAAUUGUCACCAUUAUGUCAUUUAGAAAACAUUGCCGUUUGAUAAGUAAACUCAAACCAGUACAAUUCAAACACCCUUAACAACCAAUUAUCCAUGUGUAAGCACUAACAAGGAAAAAUACUCAACAAGCAAUCAGGGGUUUGGAAUGAAUACAAAGGUAAGUUCAUCUGUACUUUGAAAUCAUGGAUGCAAAUAUCAGAGGAAGAGGCAGAAUUGUCAGAAUGAGAGGAGGUGGACAAAGGAGAGGAAGAGGCAGAGGAAGAGGCAGAGGAAGAGUAAGAAGAACAACAAUCUCAAAUGAGAUCCAUGCCACACUAUGACAGAAAUCCCUAUGACAGAACAACCUUCUCCGAGCCAUGGAAGAAGCUUGUGGGGACAUUGCUGUGGAGUCUUGUCAGGGAUGGCUCAGGCAUUCAAGGGCAUUUAUCCCUGCUGAAAAUCUCUGGCCUGACCCUGGUCAGAGACAGGAUGCUGACCCAGAAUGAACAGUACUGUAGUAUACUCAAGCCCUGUUACUCAGGUGAAAAUGCUUUGUUUAUUUCCUUGUUUUCUUAGCCUUUGUUCCCCAAAUUACAAUUUACAGUAAUGAAUUUGUGUUGUUGACUAACAGUACUACUAUUUAUAUACUGUGACCACUACGGUAACAAGAGCUCAAAAUGCAAUUGCUGUAUAAUGUAAAUAGAAAAUAAACAGCCUGUAAGAAGGACAAUUGCA